rnacentral:lncRNA from 1 species
GCUUUGGGUACAGCACUGGUCCUGUUUCCUCCACAGGGCCCAUGUGGGGCCCUGGCAUCAGACCCAUUUAUCUGCUGAUCGAACCGUGGGGAUGCUGGUGAUGGAGCUGUGCUGUCUCCUCCCAGUGGUAGCAGGUCCCAGACAGCAAAGGAGGCACAAGGAAGGGGCAGCUUCAGGAUGGAGCCCUCUGGGAUGAAGCUCCUAAAGGUGUCCUCUCCCGACUUCUUGCCCAGAGACCAGCCCUUCACCAUGCAGUUUCCUGGCCCGCCCUCUCCACCCGGGUCUCCUGCCCUCCCUGGGCUCUCUCCGCCCGGAUCUCCUCCUGCCCGCUCCAGGCGCUCCGAUAUCAUCCCCUACACGCCGCCGCCGUCCCCCGGCCUCACGGGCCGCCUGCCCCCCAUCGUCAAACAGUACCAGGAGCGCGGCCAAAGGGAGCAGGCAGAGGGGUAUUCCCGCAGAUCCCCCAUGUACUGUGGGGGCCGGCACACCAGCAUCUGCCCAGUGCAGCCGAUGGAGCCCCUCCUCCCAGACCCCAGCAAGCCCGGCGUGUUUGACCUGGUGGGCAGGGAUGGAAUCGUCUACCGGGGCCGGCAGUGCAGGAGGACUCCUAUGGGGUCCUGGAUGGAAGGAGCAACCUAUUCCAAUCUGCAGUAAAGAGCUACAAGCAGCCAAGCACCUGUGCUUCCUGAGUGAAGUGGCCUUGGAUCAGGAUCUUUCCUUCUUGAACAAGGAGGGGCUGCUGGAGGAGCUGAUAACUCCAGGGUCUGUGUCAGCCCCGUGCUCCCUCUGACACCCCCUGGCCCCUGCCAGGGGACCCUUUGGCCCCAAAGGAGGUCUGGGGGGGCCGAGUGGUGCCGCAGAAGGAGGAUGUUCCUUUGCCUCCAGGGAGGCAGUGGGAAAGGGGGGGUCUCAGUGGGAAGAGCAGCAGCAGGACACGGUUUAAUGUCAAAAGCGAAUCCCACCCCAAGCCCGCUGGUUUGCUAUCGAUUAUCCCAUUGAGCAUCACCGGGCUGCUUUCUUUAUCUCCAAGCGAAGGAAGCCCCUUGUCCCUCUCCCCUUUGUCACCCCCUCCGUCCCUCUCCAGCGCUGCCAUCAACAGAAAGAGGAAGGCACGAGGAAGCCCCGCUGCUUCCCACCUCCAGACGCGAGGGGCAGCUGUAACCUGUCCUUGCCACCACCUGGGGGAACACGACCCGCCGCUCCUU